AAAGGAAAGAAAAAAUUAUUUCUUAAAUAAAAAGCACUUAGUACCUGGGAAAAUCAGAAGAAAAU
rnacentral:tRNA from 1 species